rnacentral:rRNA from 1 species
GACGAACGCUGGCGGCGUGCUUAACACAUGCAAGUCGAACGAUGAAGCCUUCGGGUGGAUUAGUGGCGAACGGGUGAGUAACACGUGGGUGAUCUGCCCUGCACUUUGGGAUAAGCCUGGGAAACUGGGUCUAAUACCGAAUAUGAUCAUGCUCUUCAUGGGGUGUGGUGGAAAGCUUUUGCGGUGUGGGAUGGGCCCGCGGCCUAUCGGCUUGUUGGUGGGGUAAUUGCCUACCAAGGCGACGACGGGUAGCCGGACUGAGAGGGUGACCGGCCACACUGGGACUGAGAUACGGCCCAGACUCCUACGGGAGGCAGCAGUGGGGAAUAUUGCACAAUGGGCGCAAGCCUGAUGCAGCGACGCCGCGUGAGGGAUGACGGCCUUCGGGUUGUAAACCUCUUUCAGCAGGGACGAAGCGCAAGUGACGGUACCUGCAGAAGAAGGACCGGCCAACUACGUGCCAGCCGCCGCGGUAACAC